UCACUUAAAUCACAUAUCAAGUUGGUACCGACAACUCAAAUCGGUCAGCUAGGUCCCGGCCCCUCCCUUCUGGGGGAAGGGCGUGGCUUCGCCGUGGUCACGUGUUUCGCGGUGCGGUCGCUUACCCUCUACACUUCUGAAAAUUCCCGCGACUUCUUUGAAUUACCUCUACUCCACCCAAAUUUCAGCCUUCCUUCGUCUCGUUUCGUGUUCUGUUCUGCGUUUCUUCUUCUUCUUCUCUUCUUAGAUCUGCUGCUGCUCUUCUUAGCUAGCUCUGUCUAGUUAAGUUUGAGGUUGGAUUUUGGAGAAUUUAUUGUUUGUCAAUUUCAAUUGUCAAAUUGUCAUACAAAUUUGUAUUUUAGGUGUGUAUUUUCAAUUUAGGCCUAAGUUACAACAACUACUACAGUUAAAAGAACCAUUUUUGUCAUCACAAAAUUGAAAGGAGAUGGAUGCACCCUCCUUCAGAAGGCGCUGAAAGGAAUACUAAUUAUAGGCCGCUGUACUCCGUAAAAGAACUUAAGGAAGAGCACCUAGUGAGAUAAGUGUAUGUCUGCCAUUUCAUCCGUUAAACAGCCAGGUUUUUGAAGGAAGAAAGAUGUAGCCCCAGCUCUGGACAAAAAUAUUAUGGAGAAGGUUGGCCGCUGUAGAGGGCAGCUAUAGUUAUCAUUAUAUGUUGCCUUUUAUUGUUAUGUACUGUUUUUAUACUUCACCAAUAAACCUUAUAUUUAUCUAUAGCA